rnacentral:rRNA from 1 species
AUUGAACGCUGGCGGCAGGCCUAACACAUGCAAGUCGAACGGUAACAGGAAGAAGCUUGCUUCUUUGCUGACGAGUGGCGGACGGGUGAGUAAUGUCUGGGAAACUGCCUGAUGGAGGGGGAUAACUACUGGAAACGGUAGCUAAUACCGCAUAACGUCGCAAGACCAAAGAGGGGGACCUUCGGGCCUCUUGCCAUCGGAUGUGCCCAGAUGGGAUUAGCUAGUAGGUGGGGUAACGGCUCACCUAGGCGACGAUCCCUAGCUGGUCUGAGAGGAUGACCAGCCACACUGGAACUGAGACACGGUCCAGACUCCUACGGGAGGCAGCAGUGGGGAAUAUUGCACAAUGGGCGCAAGCCUGAUGCAGCCAUGCCGCGUGUAUGAAGAAGGCCUUCGGGUUGUAAAGUACUUUCAGCGGAGAGGAAGGGAGUAAAGUUAAUACCUUUGCUCAUUGACGUUACCCGCAGAAGAAGCACCGGCUAACUCCGUG